rnacentral:lncRNA from 1 species
GAGCUGAUUCAUGUCGCUGCACUACCUUGCUUGAGGGCCUCUACUGGCUGCAGGCUUCGUGAGAAGAACCCUAGGAGACCUUCAAGCUACGAAAUGCAGGCUGAUUUGACAUGUUCCAUGCAACUCGUGACCUAGGUAGGGUGGCCGAAGACCUGCCUGUCUGCAGUGGGCUGAUUUGGCAUGUUCUGCGUGACUUGCAACCUCGGUAGGGCGUCUCCAGACCUCUAAAAUUUUUAUUUUUCUCUUUUUUCUUUCUUUUCUUUUCUCUUUUCUUUCUCUCUCUCUCUCUCACUCCCUUGCUGUCCCACAUUGUUCUUCAUCUCCCUUUGUGUUCCUGUUCUGGCCCUAAUUCAUAUUUCUUCUUUAUUUUUCUUUUUGUCUCUUUCCUUCUCUCACCUGUGUCCUCUGGUGUCACUGCUAACCUUCCCCUGUCUUUGUACCUAAUUAUUCCUCCCUCCCCAACUACUUCUAACUCCCCAUCCCAAAGGGUAAAUUUGCUGUAAUGAAGAGUUUAUUCAUUAUAAACAUAUGUUUGGUUGGUCCUUGUUUUUUUAUGUAAUUCACACAGUUAAAGAUGAUAGAUGAAUAACUACCACAGACUGGCAUUUUUAAGAGGUACUUGAUGCUCUUGUGUUGUGGAGUGUAUCACUUUGGCUAAGGUGUUUUGAUUGAUCUAAUCAAUUGUCCUUCCUGGUAUAAUGAAAAGGAGACAGCCUCAGAGCCAUUAGAGACUCAAAACCUAAAGACCAGCUAUAUCUGGAAGACACUUCUGAGAAACAAUCAUUCCAUAAGAGUUCUAAAUACAUCAACAAAGAUACUUACAAUAAGCAACUUCAAAGUAUCAAUCCAGAAACUAAACCAAGGACAGUGCCAAAAACAAAAAUGAGAAGACAUUUAAGCAAGGCACAAACUCAGACUUCCACCCCCCCAAAGGGCAAAUUCUGGGAGAAACGAGGUGGAAAAGUCUGAUAAUCAACCACCUGGACACCCUGAAGUGAUAGCACAGGAAGUAACAAAAGAGAUGAAUGAGGCUCCAGAAAAAUUCAAAACAGAAAUAAUUUCCCAUAUAACUACAGAGAUGGUGAGCAGAGUGAAAGACAUGAUUAGAGGCUCUAGAACAGAAACAUAAAAAAAAUAGAGGCGCUCAGAAAUAUGUUGGAAGCCAUGAAUGCCCAGCAUAAGAAAGAAAUGGAAACCAUAAUCGCCCAAAAUAAGAAAGAAAUGGAAUCCAUGCCACAGAUUCAAAC